rnacentral:tRNA from 1 species
GGGCGGUUAGCUCAUCUGGUAGAGCGCAACAUUGACGUUGUUGAGGUGACAGGUUCGAGUCCUGUACCGCCCACCA